rnacentral:sRNA from 1 species
GCUGGGCAUAGUGGCUCAUGCCUGUAAUCCUAGCACUUUGGGAGGCCGAGGUGGGUGGAUCACCUGAGGUCAGGAGUUCAAGACCAGCCUGGCCAACAUGGUGAAACCCCAUCUCUA